AUCUUUAUUCCUCAAAAUAUUUUUUUUUCGUACAUUUUUUAGGAUGAAUACUCAAAAUCAAUGUUGUCUAAAAAAGCUGAUUAAUGGGGUGCUUAAAUGUGCAUUUUUUUACAUAAAAAAUAAGAGUAAGGUAAAACGACUGAAAUAUGUCUCAUAAUUCUGUAAAAGCAUAUGAAAAUUAAAAAUGUAAGUUGAUAACCCCAUCUUUGUUAGUUGGUUGUACCAUAUUAAUCUUGACGCUUGAAUAUCUGAUCUUUCUUAGAAAUUACCCAAAUAAACGAGGCGAUUAACAGAAAAGAAAAUACCCCCCCCCCCCCAAAAAAAAAGAAGAAAAAAUGUGCCAAAAAAAAUAAAGAAAAAAGACUGAAAAAUGGGGUGCUAAAAUGUACAAUUUUCUUCUAUAAAAAUUAAGAAUAAGGUAAAACGAGUGAAAUAUUGAACUGGUCGUAAUCGGAAUUGGUCAAUUGAUGUACGUAAGCAUUGCAAUUUCUGUUCAUCCAUAACCAUCAGUAUUUUGCUCAAAAAUCACGAUCUUGCAUCAGGAGUUAACAAAUCUUGACGUUUUAUUUCGUCCACUAUUACAGACAAAGUCAACCUAACAUCCUUCUCCUGCAUUGUGUCAGAAAUUACACAAACAUUACACCAUAAUAAAACAGUUCGUGUCAGAGAUCAGACCAAUAUGAUCAUUGACAAAAACGCUGCAAUAGUGGAAAACAAAUUGAAAACAACAAAUCAGAAAUAUGGCAAAGAGACGAAGGUCAACUUUGUCCGAGUUGAAAUCUCAGUUUCUUUAGAUUUUUCAAAAUUUAUAAAUGAACAACUAACGG
rnacentral:lncRNA from 1 species